AGACGGAGUUUCGCCACGUUGCCCAGGCUGGUCUCGAACUCCUAGCCUCAACAGAUCACCCUGCCUGUGCCACCCAAAGUGCUGUGAUGACGCGUGUGAGCCACUGAACCUGGCCACAGCUGCCCUUAUCACCCUCAGAAAGGUCAUUCCAGGUACAGGCUCGGGGUGGGGUGACAGGAUGUCUCCUGACCACGCUGACAGUCUUUACCGCUGAGUCAACAGACCCUCUGGAAAAUGACAGACUCCACAUUCCCCGGGCUGAGCACAUGAGCUCUGAGAGCAAUUUCAAUCUUGUAUGAGUCUGGCUUCAGACUGCUCCUCUGUGUUUCACAGUGACCCUUAUGUCACCCUUCCUCCGAGGGAAACAGAGAACACGUUUCUGGAGAAAUUAGCACAUGCUGUUUGACACCUGAUGCUGCAACUUCCUGGAGCCUGGAGACACCUCCUAGCAGCCGGAGGAGCUGCGUGGACUGCUGGGUGAGCAGAGGAGAAUCCACGGUGUGGCUGCAGCUCCCGGGCAUCCUAAACCCAGGCAAGAAGGUGUUAAAACUCAUUUCUACCAAUAGUCCUGCUUCGCUGAAAGCUCCAGCACCCUAUUUCUAAAGGAUAAGGGAGAAGAAGUGGAUGAAAUGUUCCCAGCAACCUUCAAAAUGGAAAUUAAUUCAUCCACUUCUGUUUCUUCAUUUGCUGCAAGUCUUUGACAUUUUUAUAGCCAUGGAAAUUUUUAUAAGUACCACAGCACAGUCAGAGACAGCAAUCGAUGUUUUAGAAUUCAGGGCCUGCAAGGAGGCAGCAUACAUUGUGGCGUGCCCUUCCUGUGGCUACAGGAAGUCAUAAAACAGUCCUGGAUGAUUAAGAGAGCUCAGGCUGCUGCCAAAAGCACAGGAAUUGCUUACAAAAUAUGCCUUCAGUGUUAGGACACGUCUCACAGUGAAGUUAUAUACACAGAAUAAUUCCCCUGCAAAAGUGACACAAACCCUCACCAAGCAGUAGUCAUGGCAGCUUUCUGUUUGGAAAAUGGUGAAUGAAGCAUCCAUAUGCCACGCAAAAAAAAAAAAAAAAAAAAAA